GAUGAACGCUGGCGGCGUGCCUAAUACAUGCAAGUCGAGCGAAAAGACGAGGCGCUUGCUCCUCUGUCGUUUGCCGCGGACGGGUGAGUAACACGUGGAUCACCUACCUAUCAGACUGGGAUAACUUCGGGAAUCCGGAGCUAAUACCGGAUAAUCUAUUGAACCGCAUGGUUCAUUAGUGAAUGACGGUUUUGCUGUCUCUUCUCGAUGGAUCUCAGCCGCAUUAGCUAGUUGGUACGUUAACGGCUUACCAAGGCAACGAUGCGUAGCCGACCGGCGAGGGGGAUCGCCCACAUGAGAGCUGGAACACGGACAAUACGCCUACGGGAGGGAGCAGUAUGGUAUCGGCCGCAAUAGUCGGAAGCCUGACGGAGCAACGGGGCGUGAGAGAUGGAGGUCUUCGGAGCGUAAUACUCGGUUAUGAGGUAAGAACAAAUGUGGAAGGAACUAUGCACGGCUUGACGGUAACGAAUCAGAAAGCCACGGCUAACUACGUG
rnacentral:rRNA from 1 species